GAGAAAGCGUGACCCGGAGGUUGUCGCCUUGGGGGAAGCCCCUGAGCUUGAGAGCGAGCGGGCUGUUGAACAGGUCGGACAGCCCACCGAGCAUCAAGAAUAGCUCGAGAAAAAGAAUAGUAAGGCCAUAUGUACGCAAACAACCUCGGAGGUUUUAUUUAUUCAAUAACAAAGGGAAAAAAGAGAACGUAGCUUUUAAAUCCUGAAGGUAGAAGCGCCAUAGAUGCUGGAUGUUCCAUGGAUUGGGGAUGCAUGAGCCGUCCGUGCAUGUAAUCAGAAC
rnacentral:lncRNA from 1 species